UAAUAGUACACCUGUACAAUCCAUGGAUUUUAUUUGAAAUAUAAUUAAUUUCAUUAAAUAUAGAUAUUUAAUUAUGAAAUAGUGAUUGUUUGAUUCCAUAAUUUCUGAUAUGCUAGAAAAGUGGUGCUUGUUUAUGAAUAAUCAACAAUUUUAGUUAAUAAAUUUUUAAUUUAAUAAUGGCACUUAUUUAAUUCAACUACUAUAGAAAUUUUAAUAUUAUAUAUAUAAUAUGCUAGCUUAUGUUUCAAUUCUUUAAAAUGUUAGUUUUUUGUUUCAUAUCAUAUCUAGCCUUUGUAUCUUCUUCCUUCCUAACACUUUUUUAAAUCAGUCCGAAAACAUUGUUGGGGCUUGUGUGCAUGGGGUAAAAAAAUGUCUUGCCAUUAUAUUCAGGAGAGAUACUCUUGUUUAAAUUAACUCAUUAAUAAUCAGUAACGUUUUGCUUAUUUCCUAAUGAAUUUCUAUCAUUAUGUAGAAUAGUAUCUGGAAGAUCAAAUCUAAUUUAAUUUUUGUUGGGUAUACAGGGCUUAUAGCAGCGGCAUCGGGGCAGCUGGAUUCUUUAGUAGUGAGGGGUUGCCAUGUGAACAAGUCAUUAACAAAUGGGACAAGUUAUGGAAAAAUAACACCUAAGACCCACCAAAAUGGAAACUUGCUCAAGUGUUCGAGUGGAACUCUGAAUUGCGUGUAUAGCAAUGGUAAUGGUGUGCACCAUCAUUGACAAUGCCUGGUGAUUACUGGAGUUGAGUUACGGUACCAACGUUGACUGAGUGGUGAUUACUGGAGUUGUCCAGUUAUGGACCUACCGAAGAAGAAGUGAUUUUUCUGAUGCGCUUCAGGGUAGUUUUAUCUGUUUGUACAGCUGAGUAUGGAUAGAUGUCAUAGCCGGCAGGAGAAGAGACUUGUCUUCGGGAUGCUGGCUUUGGCAGUGAUUUAAGAUUACAGAGUCUGGUUGAGGAUUUUGGUGGUUUAGUUUGGUCGAGAAGUGUUCAUCUUGUUGCGGUAGAAAAGAAAUACUGAAAACACAAUGGGCUAUAAUUUAGAGGAACUUAUCUGUGUUAAGUGCAGUUGGAUGAUGAGUUGAAAGGAUAUUGAGAUUUUGUAAGAUUUUUAACACGCUUUCUUUUCAUAAGAUUUUCCUCCAUCAUUACAAUUUCUCUCCGGACUUUCUUCGUACUCAAGUGAGGUUUUUCCUUUUAGGGUUACUUUGCAAUUUGAUAUCAUAAUAACUGUAGGCAAUGACUGGUCAAAAUAUAUUGAUAUGAAAUUUGAGUAUGAAUUUUGUUAACUUCGAUGUGAAAUUUCUGUAAAGACAAUCAGAUUUGGAGUUCUCUUUUUAUUUAUUUAUUUUAAAAAUUCUUGUGUUUGUAAUUUGAUAUGACAUUCCCCAUAAGUUAAAACUAAUUUGUAAUGUAGAAUUACACACUCUUUUCUUUUCUUUUUUUGUUUUUGGUUUAAAGUUUUAAGUUUUAUUUGG
rnacentral:lncRNA from 1 species